rnacentral:lncRNA from 1 species
AUGCACAACAAAGAAUAUUGGACUAUUACAGCUUCAUUUGUGUCUAAGUUUCCUGCAAACCGGAACUUAGGAGAAAUGGAAGCAACACCAGUACCACAAUGGCUGCAUGAAAGACAUCUGUAUUACAGGUUACUUAACUUGAAUUUGUUUUCCAAUUUCAGAAUGAAGAAAUUCUUUCUGCUCUGGAAAAUCAACGCGAGAAGAAGUAAGACAAACAAGAGCAAGUCAGUUUGAAUGUAGGUUUUACAUGUGAAAAGAAUUAAAGAAUCUUCUGAUGUACACUUGUGGAGAAUAGUCAGACUUCUUAGUGUCACUGAUAAACACCAACCUUGGACGAAGGGGGGAGCUGAGCAGCUUGAUUUCACUUCUCUUGUACAAACUUUGUGGAUGGAGGUCCACAAGCCUGAUGUGAGAGGUUGCCAAAGAAGGGAGUCAUUUAGUGUUAGCAUUAGUUAGAUGAAGUGAGAGAAAAGUUAGGAAAAAGAAGAGUGAGGGAAGAAAGAAGAAAUUGGAAAGCUAGAAGAGGCAGUCAAUGGGCUGUGGUCUUUCUUCUCCACCAAUACAGGGAUGCCUUCGUGAUAAGCUCUGCACCUUCACUUUUGGGUGAGGAAUACCUAGGAUAGCCUUUUGCUAGCACUAUUAUCAUUUAUUAGCGCUACUGCAGUAAGUGUAUUUAUCAAUGGCAACUCCAAAUCUGUUAUAUCUGUUGCCUUAUCAUAUACUUUCAACUUUGUGAAACUGUCUCAGUGAAAGGCCUUAGCAGGGCUCUGAAACAGGCAAAUGUUUGACCACCCUUUAACAUGACAACUCUUCAUCGAUUUAUCCUAUUUUCCUUAAAUAUUUUAUGAAGCAACAAAGAAUAUUAUAAAAUGCUAGAUUACCUAUUGGUAGCAGCAUCACAGACUUACUCUAAUAAAUUUUUAAUGAAACUUUUAUCUUGCUGUGAA